UCUUAUGUUUAAUGUGUUCACAAGCUAUGGUUUCUGAAAGGACAAUUAAUAAAAUACACCCCGUACGAUCAGUAAUUAUAAAAGUACACCCGUUACCGGAGAUAAUUGCGCACCCUCUAUCCAAAAAUCCGAUAAGGCUCACCAUCUCGAUUUAGUCCAUAUCUAACCGUACAUCUAUUAAAGCUGAUAAAUGGUUAAUGAUCAUAGCAAAUCGUAAAAUUAAUGAUGUGCCCUUCGUAUUAGAACAAAUGGAAUGAGAAAAUCGAGUUUCAUUUCUUCAUUUCUUUUUUGUCCAUCUCUCUCAAUCGGGAAUAAUGAAAAAUUACAUAUUUAAUUAAGAAGAAGAAUAUGAAAAGAAUAGAAGACAUCACGAAGACAAUAAUGAAGAAUUGAAGUUCAUGUAUGAAUCUAAGAAGAAUUCUUUCAUCUUAUUGUUCGGUUUGGGAACUGUUCUAGAGGAAUCGAAUUUGAGGUUCAAAGAGAAAUUUAGGUUUUUUAUUUUUUGUACCAAUUUAGGGUUUUUUUUGUAUGAAAUUAGAGCAUGGGUUUGUUGUAAUUUAUGUCAAUUCGGGGACUAUCAUCUUGAAUUGAAUCAAUUGACUUGUUCUGGUUUGUAAUCGUAAAGCUAGGGUUCCACAUGCUGAAAUUUAGGGGUUUUUUCAAAUAUGCUCUUAAUGUCAAAAGUUCAAAUUGAAUGAAUGGAUUCUUUUCCAAAUCUUUUCUUAAUGAAUUUGAUUCAGUUAA